rnacentral:rRNA from 1 species
CCUACGGGUGGCAGCAGUGGGGAAUAUUGGACAAUGGUGGGAACCCUGAUCCAGCGACGCCGCGUGAGUGAAGAAGUCUUUCUGUAUGUAAAGCUCUAUCAGCAGGGAAGAAAAUUACGGUACCUGACUACUAAUCCCCGGCUAACUACGUGCCAGCCGCCGCGGUAAUACGGAGGGGGCCAGCGUUAUCCGGAUUUACUGGGUGUAACGGGAGCGUAGCCGGUGCAGCAAGUCUGAUGUGAAAGGUCGGGGCUCAACCCCGGGACUGCAGGGGAAACUGUUGAACUGGAGUACAGGAGAGGUAAGCGGAAUUCGUAGUGUAGCGGUGAAAUGCGUAGAUAUCAGGAGGAACACCAGUGGCGAAGGCGGCAUACGGGACUGUAACUGACGCUGAGGCUCGAAAGCGUGGGGAGCAAACAGGAUUAGAUACCCGAGUAGUC